AUGUGUUUCGAUUUUUUCGAAAAAGAGAGGUUUGAUGCUUCUGAAUUCAUUGUAUUAAUUCCACUUCCUACUCGCAGUAUGCUCUUAAUGAUCCCGGCUCAUGAUUUAAUUGCCAUGUAUUUAGCUAUUGAGCUUCAAAGUUUAUGUUUUUAUGUGAUCGCAUCAUCAAAAAGAAAGUCUGAAUUUUCCACGGAAGCCGGCUCAAAAUAUUUGAUCUUAGGUGCAUUUCCCUCUGGUAUUAUUGUUCGGGUGCGACCGGACUACUACCGAUCAAUUUUUUGGAACUUAUUUAUAGACUUGUAG
rnacentral:rRNA from 1 species